AUCAUCAUAGGAUGAAACCUCAUUAAUCUUAGGACACCUUCUGACACGGUCAUCUUACCCACCUUGCACCGUGAAUGAGAAGGCAUUUCUUUCUGAUGAUGCU
rfam:Oryza brachyantha chromosome 2, whole genome shotgun sequence.